UACGGAGGGUGCUAGCGUUGUUCGGAAUCACUGGGCGUAAAGGGCGUGUAGGCGGUCUGUUAAGUCUGAUGUGAAAUCCCCUCGCUCAACGAGGGAACUGCGUCGGAUACUGGCAGACUUGAGUACCGGAGAGGAAGGCGGAAUUCCUGGUGUAGCGGUGAAAUGCGCAGAUAUCAGGAGGAACACCGGUGGCGAAGGCGGUUCUCUGGGCCUUACCUGACGCUGAGGAGCGAAAGCGUGGGGAGCAAACAGG
rnacentral:rRNA from 1 species